CGGAAAAUGUAUGGCUUAUAAGUUGUCAUUACUCAUUAGUGAAUGCGCGUAUACAUGAAACUGUUUUUUACAGUUUCAAUAUUAGUUUGUAAAUCUCUGAAUGGUAAAACUUGCCAAUACUUCAAUAAUACGUUUCAAAAAAAGACAAAAAAGCUUUAGUUUUGCAGAGUUAAAUUCUCAAACGUGUAAGGCAAUAAUAAGAUGAAAGUAUCACGAAAUUAUUUGAAUAAACCACAUCGCAUAUAUGGGGGGCGAAUGUCCUAAAGAGGGGCGAUAUUCCUAGGGUAUUCGCCCCACCCCCUGGGAGGCGAUAUUCCUAGGAUAUUCG